CUGAGGCUCCUUGGCAAAGAAUCCCUUGCUCUUUACAACCAACUCUCAUCUCAGGCCUCACAAACUCGCUACACCAAGCACAUCCUGCAGGGUAUUCAUCCAUCAAGAACAGCAAGUGAGGUAUCUACAGAAAGCUGAUAACUGAUCAAGACUCAAUCAUGGUGAAAUGCAUUUCUAAUACAUUUAUUUUUAAUAUUUAAGGAAUAAUGUAACUAUAUUGAAAAUAUGCUUAGAGUAAAAGUUAGUCACCAGUGGAUAACAUGUCUCGGUGAUGGCCCAUUCACGCAGGAGGGAGUUGCUACCCCAACUUGGUUAGCCAGAGAUGUAAUGCAAGGCUCAAUUAUCUAGCUUUGCUCCACCCCAAGACUAUUAAUGGAAAACCAUCAGACACCACUGCAAACAAUUGACACCACUUGGAGGUAAAAAUGGAACAUAACAACAGACAGAGGUUUGUCCUGUCUAUGAAUAAAAACAGUAUAAUAGAGGAGAAGGAAAGAUCCUCUGCAUCUUUUCCCUGAGGAGACAUGUUGGAGAGCUCUCAUGAAAAAUUAGAUCCUUGUUCCUGAAGUCAGCCAGCUCUGCAACAGACUGAACUUUGCAGGAGGGGGAAACCUACUUUAUUAAAUAGGAAAGAUUUUUCUCAUUGGUAUAUUUGUACAACAGCAGGACUUUACAACACCUUUGAAUAGACCUAGAAUUUUGUCCACAGGCACACCAAAAGAGAGCCAGCUAUUUUGUUACUUGUGCUUGACCACAUGGUAAAACCACCUGAGAGACUGAAUCUGUAAACACUUGUUACGAAGAUGGCAAGGUCAAGGUCGUGUGCCUAACCCUUGACGCAGAAAGUGGUGAUGUUUGUGAUGGGCCAUAGUUCUUGAGGCAAG